GCACAUAUUGGGUGGCGUGCACAAGAAGAUUACAAUUUCAAUUAGGAAGGAGGGGCAUUCAAUUGAAUUGGUGGUGCACACAAGAAGAGAAACAGCGCAGAUGCACCUCUCGGUCAAAGGGGCUGCACCAUUCUCCAUUUUUAUUUUCCUUUGAAUCAAACACUUGGAAGUUCAACAUGUCUCGGUCAAGAGGUUUUUCUUAGGUCAUUUUGCAAUUUUAAUUUCUUUUGGUAGAUUUAAUUGAGUGUUGGAUAUUAAAUCAUUUUAAUUAUGUCUGGAUAUUUGUCUAUUGCAAUGUUGGGUUUAGUAAUUUCUUUUACUUUAAUGUUUUCUAUCUUAUUCGGUUGUGUUUAAUUUCCAUGCACUUUAAUUGAGUUUAAUUCUCGUCUCAAACACUUUCAAACCCCCCCCUACUGUGUGUGUUAGACCUAAUUCUCGAACCACAUUUGGUCCUUGAGAGACGACCUAGGAGUCACUUCCUAGUCUAUAUUGCAUUUCUAAUAUGCAAUUAAAUUUGUAUGGGCCGCGACAGCCCAUCACACGCC
rnacentral:lncRNA from 1 species